AGGGGACAUCCUGGACAGGUCACCAGUCUGUCGCAAGGUGGUCUGUCAUAUCUGGGCCUUCAGACCGGAUGGCACAAGUUGUGUGUGUUGAUCACUGUGGCAUCUGGGUUUUCAACGUGGAUGUGUUGGAGGUGAUAGGGGCAUAAAGGAUGAGGGCGGGAAGCAGAGCUGGCUGUGAAAGACGGGAUUGGUCGUUAUUAUUCUGAUGACUGACAGGUUAUCAAUCAUGCUGCACUUUUAAUAAAAGC